rnacentral:rRNA from 1 species
GAUGAACGCUGGCGGCGUGCCUAAUACAUGCAAGUCGAGCGAACGGACGAGAAGCUUGCUUUUCUGAUGUUAGCGGCGGACGGGUGAGUAACACGUGGAUAACCUACCUAUAAGACUGGGAUAACUUCGGGAAACCGGAGCUAAUACCGGAUAAUAUUUUGAACCGCAUGGUUCAAAAGUGAAAGACGGUCUUGCUGUCACUUAUAGAUGGAUCCGCGCUGCAUUAGCUAGUUGGUAAGGUAACGGCUUACCAAGGCAACGAUGCAUGGCCGACCUGAGAGGGUGAUCGGCCACACUGGAACUGAGACACGGUCCAGACUCCUACGGGAGGCAGCAGUAGGGAAUCUUCCGCAAUGAGCGAAAGCCUGACGGAGCAACGCCGCGUGAGUGAUGAAGGUCUUCGGAUCGUAAAACUCUGUUAUUAGGGAAGAACAUAUGUGUAAGUAACUGUGCACAUCUUGACGGUACCUAAUCAGAAAGCCACGGCUAACUACGUG